rnacentral:rRNA from 1 species
CAGCAGCCGCGGGAAAACGUAGGGGGCCAGCGUUGUCCGAAGUUACUGGGCGUAAAGAGCGCGUAGGCGGAUCUUUAAGUGAGGGGUGAAAUCCCGAGGCUCAACCUCGGAACUGCCUUUCAUACUGGCAAUCUUGAGUCCGGGAGAGGUGAGUGGAACUCCUAGUGUAGAGGUGAAAUUCGUAGAUAUUAGGAAGAACACCAGUGGCGAAGGCGGCUCACUGGCCCGGAACUGACGCUGAGGCGCGAAAGCGUGGGGAGCAAACAGGAUUAGAUACCCCGGUAGUCCCUGUCUCUUAUAC